rnacentral:tRNA from 1 species
GGCAGUGUGGCCUAGUGGACAAUGCACUGGGCUGGGACUCAGGAGUCAUGGGUUCUAUUCCCAGUUCUGCCG